GCCGUCUUAGCUCAGUAGGUAGAGCGCAUCCAUGGUAAGGAUGAGGUCGCCGGUUCGAAUCCGGCAGACGGCA
rnacentral:tRNA from 1 species